AUCCCUACUCUCCAGAACCCUAA
rnacentral:siRNA from 1 species